UGAAGCGCUGAUGGUAAACGAUAACAUCAAUUUGAAUCAGCUGCUUGUAGACUUCAACCACAGCGACUUUCACAGAAGCUCUCCCCGCGCGGAGGAAGGGAAAGAUCUUACGCUGCCUUUUCGCGACAACAUUUUAACGGCAAUUGCGGUAAGACGACGGUUGUCUGGUCAAGCAACUUUACUCAGCUUCGGCGGACUGGUUUUUUUAGAGAAAAGAGACGGCACUUUACCCAAAGAAUGUGUAGAAGUUAGUGAAUGAUUAAUUGCCGCAAAGUUUCUUUAUGGCUACACGCAGUAGCUGAUGCGCCUAAAUGAAACUCAUUAGAAGUUGAUGAAAUAAUUAAUAAUUACUUUUUCAUCUGCGUGUUACAGCGUUCAAUUGUUGAAAUAGGCUCGAGUUCAAAUUAUUUAUUUAAUCAGCACUGGAAGAUGAAACAUAAAACUUUCACUCUCAGUCAAGAGACUGGAAUUUGAAUUGUAGACUUACAAAAUAUAGACUAUUGAGAGAGAAAAAAUCAAAGAACCUGCAUGGCGUAAUCGUUGUUAUUUAUAAGAAUCGUCAUGGUAAAUUAUCCUUUCAUUAUCUUCAAAAAUAUGGCGUCAUUAUUAGCUAAUUGAAUUCAUUUGUUUGAAGAUCAGUUUUCACUAUGCAGUACAGGAGAGAAACCAGGCAUGGCCGAUAUCCAGAUCAUCCCAAAUAAGGAACUUUGAUCAGCCAUCGAUUCCAAACUGGCUUCCCGUUUCUUAUUGCAUCCAGUCUGCUCGUUGCAGGAUAGGGACUGGGACAGGGUCAACUACUGCCACCACCACCCUUCAUCUCUCGCUCCUGGUGCAGGACUCCCGGCCAGUACUGGUCAUCUAGUGGACACUUGUGGUGAGAACAAAGCAUCCGACCUGAUGAUUGUCAGUCAUAUGGCCGAGUCUGCGGCCCUUGCGGCGGCCCAGCUGCCCAGCAUGGCGACGGGAAUGAUUCCCACGCCAACCCCCUGCACAACAUCAGUGAAUCCUGCAAGUCCAAGCACGAUGCUGCCUUCUUUCGGAUUCACUCAAGAACAAGUGGCAUGCGUCUGUGAAGUCCUGCAACAGUCCGGCAACAUUGAAAGACUGGGUCGGUUUCUCUGGUCUCUUCCAGCAUGCGAACACCUGCAAAAGAACGAAAGCGUGUUGAAGGCAAAAUCUCUGGUGGCGUUCCACAGAGGGAACUUUAAAGAACUGUACAGGAUUCUGGAAAGUCAUAACUUCUCGCCAGCGUCUCAUCCCAAACUUCAAGCGCUAUGGCUGAAGGCUCACUACAUAGAGGCCGAGAGACUAAGGGGUAGGCCACUGGGUGCAGUGGGCAAAUACAGAAUCAGGAGAAAAUUCCCGCUCCCCAGGACUAUAUGGGAUGGGGAGGAGACCAGCUACUGCUUCAAAGAAAAAUCCAGGAACAUCCUGCGAGAGUGGUAUGCUCACAAUCCGUAUCCGUCGCCUCGGGAGAAAAGAGAACUUGCCGAGGGCACCGGGCUGACCACGACACAAGUUAGCAACUGGUUCAAAAACAGACGGCAGAGAGACAGAGCAGCUGAAGCCAAAGAAAGGGAGCCAGGUGACAAACCCAAAACUCCUAGUUCUACUAGCAGUACCAAACAAGAUAGCAGCCCUUCUGAUAAAAACGACCGUCGUCCAUCUUCUUCGGACAACCAUCACAGUGGUCCGCACAGUGGUCAUCACUCCCUGAACCUGGACUCGGACACUGCACCCCUUGGAUGCUGCAGCAGUGAUAGCUCCAACGGCAUGUUCAGUAGUUCUGAAAUGACAAAACUCAGCCCCACCCACCCAGCGUUCGUAUCGGCCGGACCGACGCAAGGUUCCGCGGGAGGCGGUGCGGGACACUCCGCCGCUGCUCUGGCGGCAGCUGCAGCGGCAGGCUUCCGCCUGGGUCCCAUCGGCGAUCUCUCGGUGGCGCUGCCGAACAACUUCAUUUCAAACCACCUUAACGACCUGAGUCUAGGCCUAACGACUGCAGGAGCGGAUUAUCAUCAGCCAUUAUGACAACAAACAGCCGGUGGGGGGACAAGUGCACUGGCUGCCCAUCACCAGGUAGCCAAUGCAGUGACCACCGCCGGUACUGGUACUAAUCCGAUGUGUGUGAUAGUGACCAGUGAAGGACUCUUACCUUAUAGGAACUCUUUGGCCACGCAACCAAGCCUGGUCAUGCAAAAAAACCAAUGGGAGAAAUCACCCGAAGUUUCCUCGCAUACGGUCCAAUAAAGAGCUUAACACGUUAUAACCACACAAAAAUUGGAUAAUGGAUUUGGACCUUGGAUAAGGCCAUGUAUGCCUUGUGCGAG